rnacentral:rRNA from 1 species
GGACCUAUUCGUCGCGUGCGCGG